rnacentral:rRNA from 1 species
AUGUUUCCUGUUCUUCUGUUGCUUCUGUUGCCAUAUGUACUCCAAUCAGUGGCAGUUAGAGCAUUCAACAAUAGGACUGAUGUAGAUUCUUUGUUGGCGUUCAAGGCAAGUGUAAGCAAUCAGCAUGGUGUCCUAGCUGCAUGGAACACAACUACUGACUUCUGUUUGUGGCCAGGCGUCAGUUGCAGCCUUAAGCACAAGCACAGGGUCAUAGUGCUUAACCUCUCUUCGGAGGGCCUUGGUGGCACGAUCUCACCUUCCAUUGGGAACCUCUCCUUCUUGAGAAUUCUAGACCUCAGAUGGAACAACUUGCAAGGUGAGAUACCUUCAACAAUUGGCCGUCUGUCUCGCCUAAGAUAUCUUGGUUUGUCCAACAACUCACUUCAUGGUGAUGUAAAUGCUGAAUUAAAGAAUUGCACCAGCCUUCGAAGAAUGAAUAUUGCUUCCAAUCGCUUGACUGGAGAAAUUCCUGCUUGGCUCGGAGACUUGUCAAGUCUCGAGGUCAUAGACAUGUUCGCAAACAACUUCACUGGAAUCAUCCCGACAUCGCUUACCAAUCUCUCAGCAGUGAAAGGAAUCUAUUUCACGAGAAACCAACUUGAGGGUGCCAUCCCUGAGGGCCUUGGCAGGUUUGGCAGGCUUGUCUCGAUGGGCCUGUCAGAUAAUCACCUCUCAGGCACCAUCCCUACCUCUCUCUUCAACCUUUCCUCUCUAAUAGGCUUGGGCAUGGCACUAAAUAAUCUGAGCGGUAAACUACCCCCAGAUAUUGGGGAUCACCUCCCAAAUCUCGUGGUCCUACUCCUUGGUGCUAACCACUUUACAGGAAACCUUCCAGCUUCUUUUGUUAACUUAACUAAGAUACGUACACUAGAUGUCUCCUCGAACAACUUCACCGGAAAAUUGCCUCGAGAGAUUGGAAUGCUCUGUCCAGCCUACCUCAAUCUCAGAACAAAUCAGUUCAUUGCAACUACCGUGCAUGACUGGGAAUUCAUAAUGUUGUUGACAAAUUGCACACGGCUCCUUUGGCUUAGCAUAGAAUUCAACCUAUUAUGUGGCGUGCUGCCUAGCUCAGUUGCCAACCUAUCAGCACAACUCCAAGUGCUAUAUGUUGGAGGCAAUGAAAUUUCUGGAGAGAUACCAUUUGGCAUAGGCAAUCUUGUUGGGCUAAAUCGAUUGCAGCUAGGUUUUAACCGAUUUACUGGUGCCUUGCCUGACACCAUCGGAAGGUUAAAUUCACUACAAUACCUGGACAUGACAAAUAACCUACUGACAGGGUUCAUGCCACCCUCCCUUGGAAACUUGACACAACUACUAAUUCUGUACACAGAUAACAACACGUUUGAGGGGACUCUUCCAGCAAGCCUUGGAAGACUACCAGAGAUAACUUCAGCAACCUUUUCAAACAAUAAGUUCACAGGCCCAUUGCCCAAAGACAUCUUUAACAUAUCAUCCCUAGCAGAUGCCCUCGAUUUGUCGAGCAAUUUCUUUCUUGGUCCUCUUCCACCUGAAGUAGGCGACUUGACAAAGCUUGCACGCCUAUACUUGUCACAUAACAACUUGUCAGGGCCCCUACCUGGUGCACUCAGCAAUUGCCAAAGCUUGACAGAACUCAGGUUGGAUGAUAAUUCCUUUGAUAGUAGCAUUCCAUUGUCUAUCAACAAAAUGCGAGGUCUGAUGUUGCUAAAUCUUACAAAGAACACACUUUCAGGCUUGAUUCCAAAAGAUUUAGGGCUAAUGGGUGGCCUAGAACAGUUAUACCUUGCACACAACAACUUGUCUGGUCAUAUCCCAGAAAGCUUGGAAAACAUGGCAUCUUUGUACCAGUUAGACCUGUCCUUCAACCUUCUGGAUGGCAAAGUUCCAUUACGGGGAGUGUUCAGCAAUGCAUCUGGAUUUUCAUUUGGAGGGAAUUUGAGGCUUUGUGGUGGUAUAGUAGAGUUACGUUUGCCCGCAUGCAAAACAAAAUCUGUGGGAUGUGGCUUUAGCAAACGCCAUUUGACUAUCACCCUAGUUACCGCAAUUGCUGGAGUAAUUCUGAUUUUGAGUUUGAUGCUUGUUUUCUUGACAAUGAGAAUGAAAUCAAAAACUCAGUCUACAACCACAAGAGGAUUUCAGUUGAUGGAUGACAGUCAUCCCAGAGUUACAUAUGCUGAAUUGGUCCAAGGAACAAGUGGCUUUGCAGUAAACAAUUUGCUUGGCAGAGGAAGAUAUGGAUCGGUGUAUAAGUGUUGUCUGCUGCUCAAAAAUAUGAUGACCACAGUAGCUGUAAAGGUUUUUGAUCUUCAACAGUCUGGCUCUUUCAAAAGCUUUCAAUCUGAGUGUGAGGCACUUAGUAAGAUCCGCCAUCGCAACUUGAUUAGUGUCAUAACUUGUUGUUCAAGCUCUGACUUGAAUCAAAACGACUUCAAAGCCAUCGUUUUCGAGUUCAUGCCUAAUGGGAGCCUAGAUAGGUGGUUACACAUGGAUGUACAUGUAACACAUCUACUCCAAGGCUUGACAUUGAUGCAGAGACUAAAUAUCACGGUUGAUAUUGCUGAUGCACUAGAUUAUUUGCACAACAAUUGUGAACCACCAAUAAUUCAUUGUGACUUGAAGCCAAGCAACAUUCUUCUCAAUGAGGAUUUAGUUGCUCACGUUGGGGAUUUCGGUCUUGCAAAGAUUCUUCCUGAAUCAACAGUUGAGCAGCUGAUCAAUUCAAAGAGCUCAGUUGGAAUAAGGGGAACAAUUGGAUACGUCGCUCCAGAAUAUGGCGAAGGUGGUCAAGUUUCUUCAUGUGGAGAUGUGUACAGCUUCGGAACUGUCAUCCUCGAGUUGUUUACAGGCAUGGCACCUACUCAUGACAUGUUUAAAGACGGGUUGACCCUGCAGAAACAUGCCCAGAAUGCAUUUCCAGGGAUGCUAAUGCAGAUUGCUGAUCCAUUCCUAUUGUCCACUGAAGAAGCCAAUGCUAAUAGUUUGCAGGAUGGCAGCAACACAAUGGAACACGCCAUAUUCUCUGUCAUGAAGGUUGCGCUAUCAUGCAGCAAGCAAGCACCGACAGAGAGAAUGUGCAUCAAAGAUGCUGCUGCAGCAAUUCACAAGAUAAAGGAUGGCUAUGUUAAAGGAAGACAAAAUGAGGAAGUUGUUAGAGCUAAUGCAAGGCAUUUUGCUGCAGAAUCAACGCCAGCACCCUAA